CCUUAGUGUAGUGGUUAUCACGUCAGUCUAACACACUGAAGGUCCCGAGUUCAAACCUCGGAGG
rnacentral:tRNA from 1 species